CAGAUCAAUCCAUUGAUCUGACCCUAUCCUUACAAGCGAGAGGAGUAAUCCUCUGGUUUGAAGCUUUGGAGACAAUGUAACAGAAAGCCCACCUGAAAGGUCGGCGUGCUAGGGUAAAAAUUCUAUGAUGAA
rfam:Ascoidea rubescens DSM 1968 unplaced genomic scaffold ASCRTscaffold_44, whole genome shotgun sequence.